AGCUCCAAUAGCGUAUACUAAAGUUGUUGCGGUUAAAAAGCUCGUAGUUGGAUCUUGGAAUGUGAACGCGAGGUCGCUUUACUGAGUGAACUUUGUGGCGCAUUCUUCCAUUUGGUCGGUGUGUUUGUGCUCUUAAUUGAGUGCAACAUGCUACCAGAAAUUUUACCUUGAAAAAAUUAGAGUGUUCAAAGCAGACCUUUUUGUGUCUGAAUAUUCGUGCAUGGAAUAAUAAAAUAUGAAUUCGGUUCUAUUUUAUUGGUUUUCGGAACUCGAGUUAAUGAUUAAGAGGGACAGACGGGGGCAUCCGUACUCUGCCGUUAGAGGUGAAAUUCUUGGAUCGGCGGAAGACGCGCAACUGCGAAAGCAUUUGCCAAGAAUGUUUUCU
rnacentral:rRNA from 2 species